rnacentral:rRNA from 1 species
AGUCGAGGGGUAUGGCUCUUCGGUGCCAGAGACCGGCGCACGGGUGCGUAACGCGUAUGCAAUCUGCCUUUCACAGAGGGAUAGCCCAGAGAAAUUUGGAUUAAUACCUCAUAGUAUAGUGAGUUGGCAUCAACACACUAUUAAAGUCACAACGGUGAAAGAUGAGCAUGCGUCCCAUUAGCUAGUUGGUAAGGUAACGGCUUACCAAGGCAACGAUGGGUAGGGGUCCUGAGAGGGAGAUCCCCCACACUGGUACUGAGACACGGACCAGACUCCUACGGGAGGCAGCAGUGAGGAAUAUUGGUCAAUGGGCGCAAGCCUGAACCAGCCAUGCCGCGUGCAGGAUGACGGUCCUAUGGAUUGUAAACUGCUUUUGUACGAGAAGAAACAACAUUACGUGUAAUGUCUUGACGGUAUCGUAAGAAUAAGGAUCGGCUAACUCCGUGCCAGCAGCCGCGGUAAUACGGAGGAUCCAAGCGUUAUCCGGAAUCAUUGGGUUUAAAGGGUCCGU